GGCUGGUCCCAGUGCAGUAGUGUUUACAACUAAUUGAUGACAAUCAUUGUUCCUUCUCCACGCCUACUGCUUCACCUAACUAGCCUUUA
rnacentral:Y_RNA from 1 species